AACGAACGCUGGCGGCGUGGAUAAGACAUGCAAGUCGAACGGAGUAUUCUGGUAGCAAUAUCAGGAUGCUUAGUGGCAAACGGGUGCGUAACACGUGGAUUACAUUCCAGAAAGCGCGGGAUAGCCCAGGGAAACUUGGAUUAAUACCGCAUGUGGUCGCAAGACUAAAGGCGCAAGCCGCUUUCUGAUUGGUCCGCGGCCUAUCAGCUAGUUGGUGAGGUAAAAGCUCACCAAGGCUACGACGGGUAGCUGGUCUGAGAGGACGACCAGCCACACUGGAACUGAGACACGGUCCAGACACCUACGGGUGGCAGCAGUCGAGAAUCUUUCACAAUGGGGGCGAACCCUCG
rnacentral:rRNA from 1 species